GCGCAUGCGGGGCUCACUCGGCUGCAGCCGGCGCCUACUGCCACUCCCGGGAGCAUGAAGGACCGAACCCAGGAGCUCCGCACGGCCAAAGACAGCGAUGACGAUGAUGAUGUCACUGUCACCAUGGACCGAGACCGCUUCAUGGAUGAGUUCUUCGAACAGGUGGAAGAGAUCCGGGGCUUUAUCGACAAGAUUGCCGAAAACGUGGAGGAGGUGAAGCGGAAACACAGCGCCAUCCUGGCCUCCCCCAACCCGGACGAGAAGACCAAGGAGGAACUGGAAGAGCUCAUGUCCGACAUAAAGAAAACGGCAAACAAGGUUCGCUCCAAGUUAAAGAGCAUCGAGCAGAGCAUCGAGCAGGAGGAAGGUCUGAACCGCUCCUCCGCCGACCUGAGGAUCCGGAAGACGCAGCACUCCACGCUGUCGCGAAAGUUUGUGGAGGUCAUGUCGGAAUACAACGCCACGCAGUCCGACUACCGGGAACGCUGCAAAGGGCGUAUCCAGAGGCAGCUGGAGAUCACCGGCAGGACCACGACCAGUGAGGAGUUGGAAGACAUGCUGGAGAGUGGAAACCCUGCCAUAUUCGCCUCUGGGAUCAUCAUGGACUCCAGCAUCUCGAAGCAGGCUCUGAGUGAGAUCGAGACCAGACACAGUGAGAUCAUCAAGCUGGAGAACAGCAUCCGGGAGCUACACGAUAUGUUCAUGGACAUGGCCAUGUUGGUGGAGAGUCAGGGUACUUUCCCGAAUCCCUACCUGAGCUCCCUUCUGGUUCUGAGGAGGGAGGCCUGGACCUUGGGUCCCCCUGGUCCUGCAGGGGGAGAUGAUUGACAGGAUCGAGUACAAUGUGGAGCACGCCGUGGACUACGUGGAGAGGGCUGUGUCUGAUACCAAGAAGGCCGUCAAGUACCAGAGCAAGGCGCGCAGGAAGAAGAUCAUGAUCAUCAUUUGCUGUGUGAUUCUGGGCAUCGUCAUCGCCUCCACCAUCGGGGGCAUCUUUGGAUAGAAACCGGCCCCUCCCACCUCUCCACUCUGGAUGGGUCUCCCUGAGGAGGCCCCUGGCUGCUGCGUCUGGCUGGGUUGCCCUCCCCACCCCUGCCUUCUGGCCGGGAGCCCUUCCCCUCCCAUCCCACACUGCUCCCUCUCUGCCAUGAGGCUCCCGUCCCCACCACCCUGCCCCAAGCCGUGUCGUGUGCAUGAUCUUGUGACAGUGUGUGUCUGUUCAGGAGGCAGAGGGGAGCAGGAUCGGGAACGGCCAGAGGGGCUGGGGACAGGUCAGUGUGGGCAAGACUUGGGCCCUGGCCAGGUCCGCCUUUCUUCAGGCCUGAGGUCUACCCUCCUCUGGGACUCAGGCUCCUCUCUGGACCGCAACCUUGCCCUCACCUGCCCUGCCCUCUGGCUUCCCCAGCUCUCCCCACCAUGCCAAGGCCACCUGGAGGGUGGGGACCAGCUGGUCACAUGGUGCUGCUUUUCAGGUUAGGGGAGAGGUGUCCCAGGGGAUAGCCCAGCACUGAAGUUCUUUGUGAGCUUAACCACUGCCAGGAGGCUCAGGGGCCAUAGCUGCUGGUGUUUUAGGAGCACCCAGUAUCCCCACUUUGAGCGAAGCCUGACAAUGUCUCUGGCCUCAGCUGCCCGUACCACAGCCCUGGGGGUCAUGUCCCUGGGCUGGGCCUGAGCCUAGUGAACUUGUGCGAGAAGUUUGGUGGUAUCCUCUCCAGCCUUGCUUGUAGCUGAGAGGUGGGGCAGACCUCAGGCCUCUGCCCACAGUCUCUGACAGGCAUGUGGGGUCGCGGCCAGAGUUGCAUGUUGGGGACAGUGGUCCCCUGCUCUCUCUAUGCUCUGAAAAGCCAGGUGUCACUUUGGGCCUGCAGUCUCGUCCUGCUCUGUCUCCCACUGAUGUGCCACGUGAUGUCAGGUGUCCUGGAUGCAGUAUUCAGCAGCCAGCUGGGGGGGGGGGCUCCCCACUUCCCUCCCCUGCCAUCUUGGGGCUUCUCAGAGUCAAAAAAAAAAAAUAUAUACCCCCUGCCCCAGGAACCCUUUCUCGUGCACAGGCAAGGAGUGUGCAUGCGUGUGCAUGCAGCGGGAGUCGGGGCCGUGUCUGUGUGCCCCCGUUCCUCAGCUUUGCUCCUGCCCAGUGACUGUGACCACUGUCCGUGCUGCCUUCUCUCACGGCCCCUCCCUCCACCCCUUCACCAAAGGUCUUGGUACAACCAGCUGCCCAUUUUGUGAGAUUUUUAUGUAGAAUAAACAUUUGUAUCUGUA